UAAGAAUUUCAGCAAGAUCUGGUUUCGAUUCAAUACUUAAUUAAUGAUUUCAAAUUUUUAGAAAAUUAACCAAAGCAACAUUUUAAAUUUUGUAUACAAAUUGCCCAAGAAAAAAAAUUGAGUAAACUGAAAAAUCAAAAUGAAAAGUCAACAAACCGCAGACCAUUAAAUAGUCCAAAUCCAACGCUGCACAACUACUCGACGACAGGUGGAGAAUUGUCAGAUUAGGUCUCCGCAACGUCACGCAUAAAUGUAUAUGUAUUGGUUCCAGCCAAGGCAAGUGCCAGCUGGAAGCUGUCAACGCACUGAUUUAUUAUUUAUUAACAGAAAACAAGUUGAAAGUUGCAAAAAGGAAACCGAAAAGCUGCGGUAAACGAAUAGGGAUGGAUGGCAAACGUGCAGGGAGUGCAAAGCGUGUCAGAAAAGAUGAGCUAGGCGGCGCAUGGUUAGUAUACCCAAACAAUCAAUCAAUUAUGUAGUAUAACUCAAAACAGCAGCCAAAUGGCCAAACUGAAAACAACAAAAUAAAGACAAAUUUAUUGAUUUAAAGUAUUCUGAAAUGUUCGGUCCGAAAUAAACCCAAACUGAUCACACUGACAGCUGUCAAUUCCAUAUACAAGCCAUUUGUGAUAACGUUCGUCUAUAGAAAUUGCUGCAAUCGGAAUAGUUUCUUUAAUAACUGGAAAAGAAAAUUCUUAGAUCAAAAUGUUUCAAGCAACUUGGUCAACUUCAGAUAGAAGAGCACAAUUACCUCGUCACUGCAUUUCUUUAGGAAUCUUAGAACGAAGGGGAGAAAAAUUCCGCUACUCUACUUUGCGUAAUCCCGAAUAACGCAUCGAUCGCAGAACAACGAAGCUGAUAGUGUUAUUAGACCACCUUUCCAGACGUUCAAAUGAGAUGAAGAGGUAGCUUAUAUCAUACACGGUUCUAUUGCGAGUAAACAAAAGUAGCAAACAUAGCAGCGCUUUAAGACUUUGUAGCGUGCUCGGUCGGUUCGGUCAGCAUACUAAAAUAACCACAAAGGAUUCUCUUAUCAAAGACGUCGAAAUAAUAGUCUUAGAAUCACAAACGAAGAAAAUAUGCACCAUGGGAUGACUCUUGAAGUAAUCGGGAAAAACUGAAUAGUUUUGUGGUAUGUCAACGGAUAAUGUCACGUAAGAGAGAACGAUGAGGUCCGACUCUCACCAGCUCUGACGGUAUUCCAGGUAGUUACUGCAGGAGACCAUCCUUCUCUGAAUUGAGGAAAUUUAAUUCAACUCUCUCUCAUUUUUUAUAACUUUUAUAUCUUUGAUCCUGUUUAGUCUACACUGCAUUGGUUUCUAUAUAAACCCUCACACACAUUGAAUGAUAUUAAACCUCUUAUUAAAAUUACCCUCCUAAAUCGGACGCUGGUGCAGACAAAUGUCAUUUACAAAAAUUCUACUAUCGAAAAUGUUUCUCAAUUAAAUUUGCAUUUCCAUUGCUUAAUUAUCUCAGCGGGCGGCACAACUCUCCAAUUGCGGCAGACACGAAUAUAAGCACAAACCUUGAGCUGUCAGAUGAGCGCAACCUGCGCACAAAUAUACACGUAAAUCUAUCUGCUGUACGGGGCGGUGCGCACAAACAGCAAACAACACCUGAGUUGACAGGUAAACAUAACAAUGGCGGGAGACGAAGGGGGAAAGAGGCGAAGCACCGGCCGCCAGCUGUAAUUCAUUUUUGGUUUAUAAUUUGCACGAAAAACUUACACCUCCACUUAGCUAUAUGCACCGGCCUCUUCCCCCGGUACCGUCUUGAAGCGCUGAUUGCUCUGGCUCUGUAGACACUGUGCGAAUUAAAAAUACUUACGUCUCAACAAAAUGCCAACACCAUACAUGCAAACGUACUUCUGGUACAGAGCAAAUGAAGUGGGAAACAAUGAAAAAACUUUUAGCAGCAAGUUUAGUAAGAAAAUUGUUUUCUCAUUUUCAACACCCUAAAGUAGACAAUGGAAAAUGUUCGAGACGAACACCAAAAACAGCAUAGCACCUGCAUAGUGUUUCGAUAGAUCACAAUAAACGAGCAAAAAUUCAAUAACAGGUAGAUUUUUUAACCACUAUCUUCCAUCUACAA